UAUCUCUGUAGAGUCUGCAUAUCAAUAAGCGGAGGAAAAGAAACUAACUAGGAUUCCCUCAGUAACGGCGAGUGAAGCGGGAAGAGCUCAAAUUUGAAAUCUUCAAGGUUUUACCUUGACGAAUUGUAGUUUAAAGAAGUGUUUUCUGUUGGUGUUUUGGUAAAAGUUCUUUGGAAUAGGACAUCAUAGAGGGUGAGAAUCCCGUAUUUGACCAUUACUUCCAGCGUUGUGAUACACUUUCAAAGAGUCGGAUUGUUUGGGAAUGCAGUCCAAAAUGGGUGGUAAAUUUCAUCUAAAGCUAAAUAUUGGCGAGAGACCGAUAGCGAACAAGUACCGUGAGGGAAAGAUGAAAAGAACUUUGAAAAGAGAGUUAAACAGUACGUGAAAUUGUCAAAAGGGAAGCGUUUGACACCAGUGUUGUUUUCUCGAAAAUCAAUUGAAGAACUGUUUAUGCUAAGUUGUUUAGACUUUAUCAGCUAACUGUUUAGUUUUGAGCUUUUCUUUAAUGCACUUUUCAGUUAACAAGUCAACAUCAAUUUCUUUUGCUGUAAAAAAGCUUGAGGAAGGUGGCUUGAGAUUCGUCUUAAGUGUUUAUAGCCUCUUGCCUAUGCAGUCGGAGAGAUUGAGGUCUGCAGCGUAGAUCCUUCGGGGCUAAAUGCAUUUGUGCUAAGUUAUAGCAUUUUAUAGACAACUUGUUGACUAUGAUUUGUCUUGUAGCUUACUCGCUUAUGUUAUUUUACCUACGCUUAGGAUGUUGACGAUCAGCUGAGCGCG
rnacentral:rRNA from 1 species